rnacentral:siRNA from 1 species
GAUGAAGUGGCUAACCGCGAUUGG